rnacentral:rRNA from 1 species
UACACUCCUACGGGAGGCAACAGUGGGGAAUAUUGGCCAAUGGGCGCAAGCCUGAUCCAGCCAUGCCGCGUGAGUGAUGAAGGCCCUAGGGUUGUAAAGCUCUUUCACCGGUGAAGAUAAUGACGGUAACCGGAGAAGAAGCCCCGGCUAACUUCGUGCCAGCGGCCGCGGUAAUACGAAGGGGGCUAGCGUUGUUCGGAUUUACUGGGCGUAAAGCGCACGUAGGCGGACUAUUAAGUCAGGGGUGAAAUCCCGGGGCUCAACCCCGGAACUGCCUUUGAUACUGGUAGUCUUGAGUUCGAGAGAGGUGAGUGGAAUUCCGAGUGUAGAGGUGAAAUUCGUAGAUAUUCGGAGGAACACCAGUGGCGAAGGCGGCUCACUGGCUCGAUACUGACGCUGAGGUGCGAAAGCGUGGGGAGCAAACAGGAUUAGAAACCCUAGUAGUCCC